rnacentral:rRNA from 1 species
GACGAACGCUGGCGGCGCGCUUAACACAUGCAAGUCGAGCGAAGCGGCGGACGGGGGAGUAACCCGUGAGUAACCUGCCUUAGACAUUGGGAUAGCCUCGGGAAACCGGGAUUAAUACCAAAUGGUCUAAGAUGGACUCGCGUCCCAUUAGCUAGUUGGUGGGUAACGGCCCACCAAGGCGACGAUGGGUAGACGGGCUGAGAGGGUGAACGGCCACAUUGGAACUGAGAAACGGUCCAAACUCUACGGGAGGGAGCAGUGGGGAAUAUUGCACAAUGGAGGGAACUCUGAUGCAGCGAGGCCGCGUGAACGAAGAAGGCUUUCGAGUCGGAAAGUUCUUUUAUAUGGGAAGCAGUACCAUAGAAGAAAGCUCCGGCUAAAUACGUGCCAGCAGCCGCGGUAAUUC